rnacentral:misc_RNA from 1 species
CUAAUAUCCACUCGAGUUAAUAUAUUUAUAUAUUAAGCAAUUUUAAUAUUCAAGUUAGGAUGUAAAUAGCAGUAAUUAUCUAUAAAAAAAACAGCGCGUUUGCCUGUGGCACGAAAGUAGGUCAGUAUUUCUAAAAGCCAGCACAGUGCAAACCUCAUAGACAUCUCAAACGAAAAAACUGGUGCUUUGUAGAGGGGUUGAUCACGUGACAUUGCACUAAAAUAGUUUCAUAGAAUUCUCCUUUAUUCGUUCAGUCUAUCCGCCAUUGGAACUGAUAAAACAAAUCAAUUGAGAAGGUAAGAGAAUGAACUAUAAUAUUACCAACUGCAAAAUAGAGAGAGAAAGAUUACGAAUAAAAUUUCUCUAUAUAAAACAACAUAGAAGGUCAACGAAAUCCUUUAACCGUUUAAUAAUACUAUACCUUGAUAUGGAUAAGAACAUAUCAACAGUUAUCUUAUUCCUCCUAACCAUUUCCCAGGCUGAAAUCUAACUUUCAAAUAUUUCAUUUAUGGCCGUUUUCAUUUAUGGCCCUUGAUACUUUCUAUUUAUAGAUCAUACAAAGAUGAUAAACACGUUUAAAAGAUUGUUAAAUAUCGUAACAAUUUUUAAUUGUAUGACACCAAAUUUUGCGGUAACAUUCCUUUCCGCUCCAAAGUAUGUCGUAGCAAAACUGGGAGAUACGUUUGAUAUACAUUAUUCGCUUAGCGAAGCUAAACAAAUUCGAUUAGAAAGUUUGUACAAUGAUACAUCGGCUAGUAUAUUUGAACCUCCAAACUUUGAUGCAAAGUUUAAAGAUAGAUGGAAAGUAACGCCUAGUGGAGAAAGUUCAUCCUAUACUUUCACCGUCACUUCAUCGGAAAAAAUUGAUGGUCUUCAUAUUAACGCUUCAAUUGUGGGUGGUUCAAGCACUGAUUAUCGUAAAACUGGAGUAGUUUUAUAUGAAUCAAAUCCAACAGCCGAAGAAUAUCCUAAAACUGUUAUUGAAGGUGAAAAAUUUAACGUUGUAUUUGAUUUUAAAUUCUGGGGUGCUGGAAGUUUUGGUAGUAAACUUUUUGUAAAUGAUACGUGGAUAUCUUCGUCGAAGACUGAAUCAAUAUUUUAUGACGGAUUAGCUAAAUUUAAAGAGGAACAUAAGGCUACUUGGAAAAUAGAUAAUCAAAAUAUGUAUUUUGAAGUGAAAUUGUAUAGAAAUGACGAUACAGAUUUUGUUAGAUUUAAGAGUGAUGAUAUAAAAAUUCGCGUUGAAUAUAAAGUACGUGAUAUAAAAAUUACGUCUGAUCAAGAUAAUUCAGACAAACUUAAAAAUGGUGAUGAGCUAAUUUGUACUGCAAUGGGAAAUCCAGUUCCUAAAUACGAAUGGCGAAAAGCAUCUUCUAAAGUUAUCCUCUCAACUAGUUCUAAAGUGAAAAUUGAAGGUUCAGGCAACGUGGUUUACGAAUGCACUGCCUGGAAUGUUGUUAAUGGAACUAGACAUACAUUAGCACAAAAAUCUUCCCUUUCAAUAAAUUCUGCCUCAAUACCUGGAAAAUUUGAUAUGACUCUAAUCUCAUCUAUCCUUUUAUCAUGCAUCGUCAUUUAUAAAGAAAACCUUAUUUAAAGUCUUAAACACUAUGUAUGGGUUCUAUGUUAUAUAUUCUAGAUCAGUUCCUAAACGUGUUGUCAAAUUGUUCUUUUUUUUUUUACUGUAAAAUUUAUGUUGGCCUAAUCUCUUAAUUCAUAAUAAAAACAAAAUGAAGACAA